GAAAUGCGAUAAGUAGUGUGAAUUGCAGAAUUCAGUGAAUCAUCGAAUCUUUGAACGCACAUUGCGCCCUUUGGUAUUCCGAAGGGCAUACCUGUUCGAGCGUCAUUUCAACCCUCAAGCCUGUUGUGCUUGGUCUUGGGCGUCUUGUCUCUUGCGAGACUCGCCUCAAAGUAAUCGGCUGCUAGUACCUUGACUACGGCGCACAGUAGAAUGUUGCUGCCCGGUCGCACGGUCGCUCAGCGGGCUGUAUCAACUUAUUAUCUUCGUUUUGACCUCGGAUCAGGUAGGAAUACCCGCUGAACUUAA
rnacentral:misc_RNA from 1 species